CCGGCUGUUUCAUCAGCCGUUCCCUGCCCGGACAUACGGAGCUGGUACCAGCUCGGUGUGACGCUCGGGGACAACGUAGUCGCCAGAUAGUGUUGCCGAUAACGGCAGAGACCAACAAUUUGCCGCACCA
rnacentral:ncRNA from 1 species